rfam:Haemonchus placei strain MHpl1 genome assembly, scaffold: HPLM_scaffold0006819
GGCCCAAAUAUGAAGUAGAGUACAGUAGUAAGGUCAGCUGAUCCUAUUAUUCUACUAUCCUUCAAAAUUGGGCCC